UGCAAGACGGAUACUGUCAUCU
rnacentral:miRNA from 1 species